rnacentral:lncRNA from 10 species
UUAUAAUCCAAUUAAAAGCACAGAUGACAAUAUUAGUCUCACAUAGAAACACAUCUUUGAGAACAAUAAAAUGGAAAAUAGCUGAGUUAAUAGAUGUGGGGUAAGAAAUUAGGGAAGUUCAUGCCUGGUGGGCUCAGUGUCUACUGGGAUGUUGAAAGAAGGUCGUUUAAGGAUGUAGGAGAGGGAGACUGAGGAGAAUAAUGAAGGUUUGGAAUAGCUGCUGUGGGAAACGGAAGAGGGAUCUGUUUGCAGAACAAGCUAUGGACCCCAGUUGAAGAGCACUGAUUGGUUGAUAUAUGUAUGAAAUUUUGAGGAAGAUACAAUUUUGUUGAGUAGGACUUACCAGCUAGUAGUUAGGAAAAGAGAGAUCAGAUGGUUGAAAUGAUUGGAAGUUUGGGGAUUUAAACGAUAAGUGCUUUGGAAGAAUAAAGGGAUAAAAAUGGGGGAAGUGCCAGCAGGAAGGUGAUUGAUGACAUCUGUCAAGUGUUUAGGCUGCACAGGAAGGAUAGAAACAGGGAAAGUGGAGAAAGGCAGUGUCAAACAGGCAAGGCUGAGAAAUUGCAGGUCUUAAACAACGUGUGGUUUGGUAGAAAAGAAUUGAGAGGGCCGGGUGCGGUGGCUCAAGCUUGUUAUCUCAGCACUUUGGGAGGCUGAGGCGGGUGGAUCACUUGAGGUCAGGAGUUCGAGACCAGCCUGGCCAACAUGGUGAAACUCCAUCUCUACUAAAAAAGUUAGCCAGGCUUGGUGGCAGGCGCCUGUACCCCAGCUACUCGGGAGGCUGAGGCAGGAGAAUCGCUUGAACUUGGGAGGCGGAGGUUGCAGUGAGCUGAGAUCAUACCAUCAUUGCACUCCAGCCCAGAUGACAAUGUGAGACUCCGUCUCAAAAAAAAAAAGAAAAAAGAAAAGAAAAAAAUGAAUUGAGAGAACUGGAAGGGUAGAUGACUAUCAUCAGAGAAUGGUAUAUUGAAAUUGAAGGGAAGUUGGCAGUAAAAGUAAAAAGAAGAACUGCAUGCCAGAAUAUGUUAGUUAAUCAGAGGGGCAUGAGUGGAUGACAG